UUAAUUGUUAAAUGCUCUAACCAAAUAAAAAAGUUCUGGGUAGGCAAGAACACACUUUCUUAAAUCUACUGGGAAUAACAAUGUAAUACAAUGCACAUGAACAGCAACUUAUACAAUACACAACCUCUGUAUACCUUUUCGUACACAAUACAAUGUACCUCUAGCAAUGCAAUGUAAAUACCUCAGAUCUUAACCAAGGAUCUUUCCAGCAGAUGGCGCUGCAGCUGACUGAGAACAUACACUGAGCAGAAUUCUUAUGAAUUUCUACAGCCAGCAUCAUGUGCACUGAGUUAAAAGCAAGCCAUCUCAAAUUUCAGAGUAUGCUAGAUGUCAGUAUUGUUUGCAACAUAAAAAGUGGUCAGACCAGAAAAGGCAGUGAGCGACACGCAUGUCUCCAAUGGCUCUGCGUAACAGGAAGCGCACCAGUGGACUGUCCAGGAUCAUCUUCCUGUUUCUUAAAAUGAGAUCUUUUCAAAG